rnacentral:rRNA from 1 species
UACGGAGGGUGCGAGCGUUAAUCGGAAUUACUGGGCGUAAAGCGCACGCAGGCGGUUUGUUAAGCUAGAUGUGAAAGCCCCGGGCUCAACCUGGGAUGGUCAUUUAGAACUGGCAGACUAGAGUCUUGGAGAGGGGAGUGGAAUUCCAGGUGUAGCGGUGAAAUGCGUAGAUAUCUGGAGGAACAUCAGUGGCGAAGGCGACUCCCUGGCCAAAGACUGACGCUAAUGUGCGAAAGUGUGGGUAGCGAACAGG